UCAUGCUACAUUACUCUUACAGCUACCCAGAUGAGAGUGUACCGCAGAUGAUUAUACCUACUGGGCAUGAACUAUUUCUUCCUAUGUGGCCACAGAUUAUAGACACUGAAGAGGCAGUAAGAGACCUUCAGCCAUACAAACGAAGCUAUGAUGGCUGCUAUUUUGAAGAUGAAUUGAAACUAGCUACAAUGAAAAGAUAUACAUACAAAAACUGUUUAAUGGAGCGUCAUAUGGAUGCUUCUGUCAAACUCUGUGGUUGUUUGCCUUUUACAUUCCCUAACAAAGG